GUAAUAACAAAACGUUACGGAACAUUUUUCCAAAUCCAAAUCAAUGCGUGCCUAGCGUUUAUAUCAUAACAACGUUUUGUGCAUAGAAACCGGAUAAACAAAGUUUUUCGAAUUAGAGACGGGUUAGAAAUUUUCAGAUCAAUAUCUUCAAAAACAACGAAUUUGCAUUGUGAGAUCUCAUCAUAAUUCCAUUUGUACAGUCGAUUGCAGGGACAAUAUGGUCAAAAUCUGUGGAAGAGUUUUUAAAAAUGUGUUUGCGUCGAAACAAAACCUCCGGUAAAGUGUUGGUCGCAAAUAGAAGAAUAUGGUCUAAAGUUUGGAUAUUGAUAAAUUCCGCUGGGACUUUCAGUACUUGUAAAAACCAUUGCAACAUUUUGGAAUUUGCGAUUUGGAACUGGGCGUUUUAUUGCAGAUAUUUACGGCAGGCAUGGUCCGAACUGGUUUUUUUGCCGUUUACAUAUUUUUAAAAGCUUUUCGACAAAUUUUGGUCGUAUUUGCUCUCGUGUUUUAAUCGGAUGUAUGCCUGGGAUCAUGAUGAAAUUCCCAAAAUAAAUGGAAUUGGAUCGCUUAGUGUCAACAUGUACCUAC